rnacentral:rRNA from 1 species
CCUACGGGAGGCAGCAGUGGGGAAUAUUGCGCAAUGGGCGAAAGCCUGACGCAGCGACGCCGCGUGAGGGAUGAAGGUCUUCGGAUCGUAAACCUCUGUCAGCAGGGAAGAACGGUCACUGUGCUAAUCAGCAGUGAAUUGACGGUACCUGCAAAGGAAGCACCGGCUAACUCCGUGCCAGCAGCCGCGGGAAUACGGAGGGUGGGAGCGUUAAUCGGAAUUACUGGGCGUAAAGCGCUCGUAGGCGGUAUGUCAAGUCAAGGGGGAAAUCCCCGCGCUCAACGUGGGAACUGCCUUUGAAACUGGCAAACUGGAGUGUGUGAGAGGUUAGUGGAAUUCCAGGUGUAGGAGUGAAAUCCGUAGAUAUCUGGAGGAACAUCAGUGGCGAAGGCGACUAUCUGGCACAUAACUGACGCUGAGGAGCGAAAGCGUGGGUAGCAAACAGGAUUAGAUACCCCAGUAGUC